rnacentral:misc_RNA from 1 species
GAUGAAGAACGUAGUAAAAUGCGAUAAGUAAUGUGAAUUGCAGAAUUCAGUGAAUCAUCGAAUCUUUGAACGCACAUUGCGCCCGCCAGUAUUCUGGCGGGCAUGCCUGUUCGAGCGUCAUUUCAACCCUCAAGCACAGCUUGGUGUUGGGACUCGCGUUAAUUCGCGUUCCCCAAAUUGAUUGGCGGUCACGUCGAGCUUCCAUAGCGUAGUAGUAAAACCCUCGUUACUGGUAAUCGUCGCGGCCACGCCGUUAAACCCCAACUCCUGAAUGUUGACCUCGGAUCAGGUAGGAAUACCCGCUGAACUUAAGCAUAUCAAUAAGCGGAGGA